ACGUUCUGAGUACACAGAUAUAAGCCAAAGUCAUUAUCACUAUAUAUCACUAUAUUUGUUGGGGUCAGGGAAUGAUUUGUGUACAAAUGUAUUUUAACCCCAUACAGAUUGGUAUGGUUGUACCAUAGAUUUAGAUUAAUUAAUGUUAAGUCUUUUUUUACUCUUAUUAUAUUUAUCUGUUUUUCAGCUACAGUAAUUGAUGUUGAAAAACUGAUGCUACCAAUCACUCCUCACUUGAUUAUUCAAGCCCAGAUUGUGAUGGACCUGGAAUGCGACACCAGUUACUCUUAAGACAAGAACCGAAUAAAGCACAGAUGUGGAGGGAUUUGCAGCCAAACUAACUGGAGGGAAGGAACCUUUAGUGUGGGUGAACAUACUACCUGGAUGUCCAACAAAGGCUGCACAAGAGCUCAUUUGAUAGCACAUAUUCUGUCCUGUCUACAUCUCGGAUGACCUGGAAGUGCUUCGACAUCAGAUCAUCAUCAUGUUGCUGCCCUUUUUCACUGUCCCUUUCCACAUCAUUUGGCCUUCAUCAUUUCCUGUCUUGUAGCAGUAUUCUCACCUUUUUUAAAAUUGUAAUAAUUUUUGAUGCAUUAAUUGUUGACUGGUUUUAAUGAUCAAUUGUUUAUUAGUGUUCUGUUGCUCUGUUAUAUUGAAUUAUUGCUACUGUUUUAGCAUGGUUUACACAAUAAACCUUUAUUGUG
ensembl:processed_transcript